GACGAACGCUGGCGGCGUGCCUAACACAUGCAAGUCGAACGGAACUGCUUCGAAGGAUUUCUUCGGAAUGACAUUGAUUCAGUUUAGUGGCGGACGGGUGAGUAACGCGUGAGUAACCUGCCUUCAAGAGGGGGAUAACAUUCUGAAAGAAUGCUAAUACCGCAUGACGUAUGAUUGUCGCAUGGCAGACAUAUCAAAGAUUUAUCGCUUGAAGAUGGACUCGCGUCCGAUUAGUUAGUUGGUGAGGUAAAGGCCCACCAAGACCGCGAUCGGUAGCCGGACUGAGAGGUUGAACGGCCACAUUGGGACUGAGACACGGCCCAGGACUCCUACGGGAGGCAGCAGUGGGGGAUAUUGCGGCAAUGGGGGGCAACCCUGACGCAGCGAACGCCGCGUGAAGGAUGAA
rnacentral:rRNA from 1 species